GACUGUGCAAAGGUAGCAUAAUCAAUUGGCUUAUAAUUGAGGUCUGGUAUGAACGAAUAAUUGGGUAGUAACUGUCUUAAUGUAUUUUUAUAAAUUUAGUAAGCAAGUGAAAAUACUUGCUCAGUUAUAAAAGACGAGAAGACCCUAGAAACUUAUAUGUGUUUUUGUUGGGGCGACAGGAUUACAAUUAACUAAUCUUAUUUUACGAGACGUAUAACAGGAAGAUUAAGUUACUCUAGGGAUAACAGCAUAAUUUUAAUAGUUUGUGACCUCGAUGUUGGACUAGGUACAGAACUCC
rnacentral:rRNA from 1 species